AUGGUGUCCUCUCUUCAUAGGUCAUCCAUCUUAUCAGGAUAUCACAUAUCAUUAGCGUCAAUAAUGCAAGCAAGCACUUUUUGCCAUACAUACAUAUCCUUUCUCUAUUCAUUUCACGGCGACGUCCAUGUCCGCUGCUCCCCUCCGAUCCAUCUCCGCCACCCACAUGUACGCGCCGGCCGGCUUCUAUCCAUCUUCUCAACGGGUGGCCGUCGCAGUCAAACGUCGCCAUGGCGCUCGUGGUGCACCGGUGCGGUCGGCGUCUCCGACAGCCCACCCACCCCAUCAAGGCCUUUUUCAAUGUUUUGA
rnacentral:rRNA from 1 species